rnacentral:rRNA from 1 species
UACGUAGGGGCCGAGCGUUGUCCGGAGUUACUGGGCGUAAAGCGCGCGCAGGUGGCUCAUUACGCCCGGCGUGAAAGCCCCCGGCCCAACCGGGGAAGGUGGCGCCGAACUGGGCUUCUUGAGGGCGAUAGAGGAAGGUGGAAUUCCGGGUGUAGCGGUGAAAUGCGUAGAGAUCCGGAGGAACACCAGUGGCGAAGGCGGCCUUCUGGGUCGACCCUGACGCUGAGAGGCGAAAGCGUGGGGAGCGAACGGGG